UGCGGUUAGGCAGGGACGCCGGCGCCCCACGCCCCACGCCUCUUAUUUGCUCCAUCUCUGGGAACGCCCCUCCUGGACCUUCAUCCACCGAGCCACAGCGACGGAGACAUGGGAAAAUUUCCCUUCGAUCGGCGCCCUCUAGUUGCCUUUCCAGCUGAGAUCGGAUUCCAGCGGAUCGCAUGCACGAGGAGUUAUGGGGUCGGCCACCCCGCGAGCCGUUCUCAAGCACCCCUUCCCCACCCCACCUAUUGAUUGCAACCAUGAUUCACUCCCAGUUCCGUGAUGAAUGAUUUUGUGAUCCACUCUUGGGUCAUGGUCUCCAGUUUGGAAAACUCUGCCCUCCAUCCACACCGUGGCCUCACCACAACUCCUCAUUUCAGGUAGCAGGAGAACUGUGAUAACCAGACACUGCACACCUGACCAGAGCAGCGCCCAGAGAAAUCCACAGGGUGAGCAUUCCCAACAGGCCAGCAAAGGUGUCUUUCUCCCACUUCUGCACACUUCAUCCUUCGGUACCCUUGGAGGAGCAAUCAUCAUUUUGGAAUGAGAAUACCUGAGACUGGCCCUCUAGAAGUGGGAAGCAAGGAAAGGCAAAAGAGAAAGUGUGGAGGUCACGGGAAAAAGACAGAGACUUCAGCCCGUGUCACAGCAUGGGCUCACGGAAUGGGCUGGACGCUCAGUGGAAUGAAGAUUGGCAGAGAAAAACGGCACCCUCUUAAGAGAGCUCCGGGAGUUUGUGAUGGACAGGGAAACCCCGGCCUGCAGCAGUCCAUGAGUUCGCAAAGAAUUGGACACGACUGAGCGACUGAACUGAACUGCACUAAAGGGAGCUGCAGAGGAAGCCUUCUCCUCUAGGGGGCGCAUGUUUUCACGUACAGCCAAUUCAUGACCCCAAGGUUAGGGAGAAGAGACGGAUGGUAAAGAGCAAGGGGUUUUGGCUGUGAGUCUUGUUGGCAAUAGUUCGCUGAUAAUGUCCAAUAACCAGUUAGUUGUCUUGGCAGGGGGUGGCAGAGGUGGGGGAUGCGGGUAGCAGAGGAGUUCUGAUUUGCAGUGAUUGCCAGUUUAUGUAGAUUAAAGAGAUGGGAAUACCAGACCACCUGACCUGCCUCUUGAGAAACCUAUAUGCAGGUCAGGAAGCAACAGUUAGAACUGGACAUGGAACAGCAAACUGGUUCCAAAUAGGA